rnacentral:rRNA from 1 species
GGGGAAUAUUGCACAAUGGGGGAAACCCUGAUGCAGCGACGCCGCGUGGAGGAAGAAGGUCUUCGGAUUGUAAACUCCUGUUGUUGGGGAAGAUAAUGACGGUACCCAACAAGGAAGUGACGGCUAACUACGUGCCAGCAGCCGCGGUAAAACGUAGGUCACAAGCGUUGUCCGGAAUUACUGGGUGUAAAGGGAGCGCAGGCGGGAAGACAAGUUGGAAGUGAAAUCUAUGGGCUCAACCCAUAAACUGCUUUCAAAACUGUUUUUCUUGAGUAGUGCAGAGGUAGGCGGAAUUCCCGGUGUAGCGGUGGAAUGCGUAGAUAUCGGGAGGAACACCAGUGGCGAAGGCGGCCUACUGGGCACCAACUGACGCUGAGGCUCGAAAGUGUGGGUAGCAAACAGGAUUAGAUACCCUGGUAGUCCACACCGUAAACGAUGAUUACUAGGUGUUGGAGGAUUGACCCCUUCAGUGCCGCAGUUAACACAAUAAGUAAUCCACCUGGGGAGUACGACCGCAAGGUUGAAACUCAAAGGAAUUGACGGGGGCCCGCACAAGCAGUGGAGUAUGUGGUUUAAUUCGACGCAACGUGAAGAACCUUACCAAGUCUUGACAUCCCUUGACAGGCAUAGAAAUAUGUAAUCUCUUCGGAGCAAGGAGACAGGUGGUGCAUGGUUGUCGUCAGCUCGUGUCGUGAGAUGUUGGGUUAAGUCCCGCAACGAGCGCAACCCUUAUGGUCAGUUACUACGCAAGAGGACUCUGGCCAAACUGCCGUUGACAAAACGGAGGAAGGUGGGGAUGACGUCAAAUCAUCAUGCCCUUUAUGACUUGGGCUACACACGUACUACAAUGGCGUUAAACAAAGAGAAGCAAGACCGCGAGGUGGAGCAAAACUCAGAAACAACGUCCCAGUUCGGACUGCAGGCUGCAACUCGCCUGCACGAAGUCGGAAUUGCUAGUAAUCGUGGAUCAGCAUGCCACGGUGAAUACGUUCCCG